AGUCACUUUGUAUUUUUGUUUUCAAUUAACACUGCGGCACAAAACGAUUUGUAUUCGACUAUUAUUGAGAAGAGAAGAGAAGAAGGAUUUCACGGCGGCCACGAUUCGAGUUCGACGAACGACGCCAUAUUGCGAAGACGAACACGCGAGUGUACUUACGUCGAUACUACGUUUAGUUUGUUAUAUAAAAAUUGUAGACUAUAGAGGAUCAAUUGUAAUGCAUUGUCAGGACGCAAUAAACGCAAUUUAUGUUUCUAAGAAAAAAAAAAAAAAAAAAAAAAAAAAAAA